rnacentral:rRNA from 1 species
UGAGGGAAAGGCGAAAAGAACCCCGGCGAGGGGAGUGAAAAAGAACCUGAAACCGUGUACGUACAAGCAGUGGGAGCCUCUUUAUGGGGUGACUGCGUACCUUUUGUAUAAUGGGUCAGCGACUUAUAUUCUGUAGCAAGGUUAACCGAAUAGGGGAGCCGAAGGGAAACCGAGUCUUAACUGGGCGUUAAGUUGCAGGGUAUAGACCCGAAACCCGGUGAUCUAGCCAUGGGCAGGUUGAAGGUUGGGUAACACUAACUGGAGGACCGAACCGACUAAUGUUGAAAAAUUAGCGGAUGACUUGUGGCUGGGGGUGAAAGGCCAAUCAAACCGGGAGAUAGCUGGUUCUCCCCGAAAGCUAUUUAGGUAGCGCCUCGUGAAUUCAUCUCCGGGGGUAGAGCACUGUUUCGGCAAGGGGGUCAUCCCGACUUACCAACCCGAUGCAAACUGCGAAUACCGGAGAAUGUUAUCACGGGAGACACACGGCGGGUGCUAACGUCCGUCGUGAAGAGGGAAACAACCCAGACCGCCAGCUAAGGUCCCAAAGUCAUGGUUAAGUGGGAAACGAUGUGGGAAGGCCCAGACAGCCAGGAUGUUGGCUUAGAAGCAGCCAUCAUUUAAAGAAAGCGUAAUAGCUCACUGGUCGAGUCGGCCUGCGCGGAAGAUGUAACGGGGCUAAACCAUGCACCGAAGCUGCGGCAGCGACACUAUGUGUUGUUGGGUAGGGGAGCGUUCUGUAAGCCUGUGAAGGUGGCCUGUGA